rnacentral:misc_RNA from 1 species
UUAACUAUUAUAUAGUACUCUGACAUUAAAUGACUCAGGGUUUUGAUUCUCUGGCAGGCACUAACUAGCCAAGGCCAGUAGCACAGAGGCAGGCCUGCCAAAGCAACAAAGUAUGUAAACAUAGGGUGGGAGAUCUACCCCUUAAGGGCAAGUUCUCAGUAAUGAUCCUUCCGCAGGUUCACCUACGGAAA